AGUGAGUUAGCUUUUCUAGUGAUGUGAUAGAGUCUCUCUCUUGAUCACGCAAGUUAAGCAAUGGUGAGCGUGAUCAGCACUUGGCUGGAUAGCCACUACACGUUGCAGUUGUAUCUUAAUGAUUUCACGAAACAUGUACUGGGUGAAAUUUUAUUCUGCUACAUUGCGGUUGCAGAUCGCUCAACAUGGCUAGCUGUUCAAGAAUCUUUAUAUUCCUGUUCAUGGAACUCUUGGACCUUCUUCUGGACUGGGAUUUUUACGUUGAGAUCGGAAACACCGACCUUAUUGCCAAAGAAUUAAAAUACUGUAUUCUUGGUUUCGCCAUCCUUGGAUCGCUGUUAUUUAUGGGAACGGUAUUCAGUAAGUAUGUCGACGUCACUUCGGAAGACGAUUCCAUGUACGGCAAAGAAAUGAAUGACGAAUGGGAUGCAUUUCUUUCCUUCCUAUCCACGUUUUUUGAAGAUCUUCCACAAAUCAUACUAGCACUGGUUGUUGCACUUAAUACGAAUAGUUUGCUCUCUUUUGUUCAAAUUGCAAAGGCCAUUUAUGGAAUUAUUGAACCGAUGAUCCAGAUGAAGUUGAAUGAGAGAGAGUACUCGAAAUUGAGAAAAACUACUUCUACCAAAUGGUACAAAGACGUUGAAUGUUUUGGUCAUGUCGUGAUCAUGAUCGUUUCCUUUAUUUUGUUCAUAGAUCUUCUCUAUCAUCUCUGAAGAUAUCUUUUAUGAGAACAGUUAAAAAUAGAUUGAUUGUCAUCAGCUUUAUAAGUGUAUACAAGGUUUGUUAGUUUGUUGAAAAGAGUACGUAAAAUGUAUUAUAUAUACUGAUUUUUGAUGAAAAAUACUGUGCAUGAUAUUGAAAAUAAAAACACGACUUGUA